CAAUUCUGAUGCAACAUGUCUGAUUCCCUGCAUUAUUACCUCCCUUUUCAGUGCUUUGCUCAUGCUGCACUAAGAUCUAAAUGGGCUUCACUAUAUCACGACUCAUAUGUGAGCACACAUGCAGGGACUUGUCUGAUUACUUAAUCCAGACCUCAUCCUACGCUCGCUUACUGCCAAGGCUAACAGGCAGGCAGGAGUUUUCAGGAAAUAAGGGUACGGAAUAUGAGAGGACCGUAAAUCCCCAGGCCUGGCCCUCCCUGAAUUCCAUGGUGGGUAUUAGGUUUUUAUUUUAUAUAUAGCUUUGAAGAAAAGGGAUCAUUUGAAGGAAAAUCAUGAGCCAUUCUUAUCUUUGUUCCAACUCUGGACUGACAUCAUGGUAUGAAAAUGCAAGGAAUGUACAGUAAAGCCUGGUGUGGGAAGAAGAUCUUGGCAGAGGAAUGAUUAAUAGUGUCUAAAAGAGGGAAAACAGUUAUGUAAUAAAUACAGCCCAUGAGAUUCGAAUUGAAGAAAGCAUCACAGGUGCAGAUGGUAAACAGGCCCCGGAGGAAAAAGGAUCGGUCUUUUAAAGGUGGACUCUGUAAACAAACAGAUGAGGCUUAGGAAAUAUCCUUUCAUAUAAAUUUAUAUGGUACAGAUCAGAACAUGGAGAAUAUAAGCACCGUAAGUGUUUAUAAACUCAAAGAACAUCCAUACUGCAGUAAAGCUGCACAAGUUGUGCCACGGUGUAAAUUUAUAUAGAGUGGGGAAGAUGUGUGGUCUGAUGGCUCCGUUUGUUUUCCUGACUUUCGCAAACGACAUGAUUUCUGCCUCUCUGGUUUUGUUUUGUUCCAUUUAGCUGCUCUCAGCUACAUAAUUGUUCUUUUAGCUUGUAAAUAUUAUGGUCAACCUCCAGCAAAGUUUAGAUGAGGCCAAUCCAACGUAAACAAGUGUGCCUAUGCCAAUGUGAGUAAGCAAAGCCAUCCCUUGUGAUAUUUACUCCCCCUUUUCCUAGCUCCCCUAGGACUGUGAGAACUCUGCCCAGCCAGUAGUGGUAGCACACAGCUGAGAGUUCAGUUUAACUGCCUGUCUGGGAUUUUUAGUCUAUUUUAUUUUAUUUUUUUUCCAUGUAGAUGGAAUGUAGAUAAUGUAGAAAUUACCCAGUGAAAUGAGAACAAUAGAGCAGAGGAACUUCUAGGAGCAUCCUCGCAUCUUUCCACGCCCGCGUGCCUGGCCCCGCUGCUCGCAAGCACAGCACAAUGGCAGUACAGGUGGAGUGGGCAGAGCUGAGAGGCCCCAGAGGGCUGAGGAUUAAUGGCACGAGUUACCAAGAUCCCAGAUAAGCUGUGGUUUUACAUGAGGCUGCAGUGCUGUGGCAUGACACGGCGGCGUUGCAGCGAUGCUGUGUGACUGUCUUGGAUCCUCUGCUUGACUGUGCUGGGACCGCAGUUUUCUGGCAGGGCUCAGGCUCACCUGGGCAGCAGCUGGAAAGCAAGCGCUGUGCCUCUGCUGCACCCCUGGAGCUGCUACGGUGUGGGAGUUGCAGGCGUCCUUAUGCUGGAGUCACUGAACCUGCUGCUUGCGAGCCUUGACUUAAAAUGGUAGGGCAUGCCAUACCUUUGAAUGUUAUCUCUGAGGUUCAGCACCAUACACUGCUCCUCUGUACAGCCCCCAACCCUUAGGAUGUGCUCUCAGUGUAGGAGAAGAAUCCUACAGGCUUGUUAAUGUAAGGUAAAUGCAAACCCAAGCAUGCAGGUAAGUUUCCCAGCCUGCCAUCUCCUCCCAGUCCCUUUGGAGCCCCUUGCUGCUGUGCGCUGGACACAGGUACUACCCGCUUCCCUGCACCCAGCCGUUCCCCAUCGCCCAGCCUGGCCUUCCCAUCUCAGCUUUGUCUCUUCCAAGUGCCCAAAGCCUGCUGCUUUCUGCAGCCGUAGCAGUUCAACGCGAGCGGCACCCCUUUGUCCCAUGCCUCAGCCUCCCAUCAGCAGGGAGCUGGGUUUGGUGGCUGUAGGGUCACGGUUUGCAGUUAGAUGUGAGCUAACCUUUACGGAAAAGCAACGCUAAACAAAACAAAGUGAUCAUUGCAACACUAUUGAUCUCCUGGGACAGGAGGGUGGGAGGUGCCUGACAUUUUGCAUUAUCUAUGGGAGAGGAAGGAGCUGGGCUGUUUUUUCCCACAAGAAAUAUAUCUAUUUUUGAAUGCAAAGUGCUUUCUUUGCCAUGGGACCCAAACCAGUUUUCAUUCACUGACUCAUGGUCUCUGGAGACUUUUUCCCUGAAUUUAGGAGGCAAAUGCUUUAGUGAUUUGCAGCUGGAAAAGUAGCAGCCCAAUUAGCUAAAAGUGUUAAUUUAAAGGUAAAGUUGUUACCUGCUUGUAGUUGUUUUGGCUUUGAAGAACCAAGCAGUUUCCAGCAGCCCUGUUCCUUGUUGUUUACAUAUGGAGUUGCCAUAGAUGUGAUCAUAACAGCUAUUGGGUGAGAAUCCUAAAGCGAUGUAUCAACAGCAUAUGGUUUAUUCUGUAGUUCUUGUGCAAGAAGCCAAAAUAUGAUUUCA